UUAACAGGAUUAGAUACCCUGGUAGUCCACGCCGUAAACGAUGGGUGCUAGUUGUCAGGCAGCAUGCUGUUUGGUGACGCAGCUAACGCGUUAAGCACCCCGCCUGGGGACUACGGUCGCAAGACUAAAACUCAAAGGAAUUGACGGGGGCCCGCACAAGCGGUGGAGCAUGUGGUUUAAUUCGAGGCAACGCGAAGAACCUUACCAGCUUUUGACAUCCCGGUCGCGGUUACCAGAGAUGGUUUCCUUCAGUUCGGCUGGACCGGUGACAGGUGCUGCAUGGUUGUCGUCAGCUCGUGUCGUGAGAUGUUGGGUUAAGUCCCGCAACGAGCGCAACCCUCGCCUUUAGUUGCCAGCAUUUAGUUGGGCACUCUAGAGGGACUGCCGGUGAUAAGCCGGAGGAAGGUGGGGAUGACG
rnacentral:rRNA from 1 species